AUACUUAGCUGGCGCAGGGGAUGCCGUUAGAUCAUGCAGGCGGUUCCCCCAGGGCGAGGCUGCUUCAUUGCACUGCGGAGUGGUUGACCCUUGCGAUUAUUAAUUUUUUUAUUUUUAUCAAUAAAAAAAUCAUAAUAAAAAAUGUAUACCCGAAUAAUUAUUUC
rnacentral:snRNA from 9 species